AUGAAGAAUCUGAAGGAUGCUAAGACUAAGAUUUAUCCCUCUAAGACGAGGGGAGGUAAGGAACUGCCAUCCAGUUCUGCUUUAGAUUCACCUUCUGUUAUAAGUAAACUUGCAACACCACCACAUGCUAUCAAUUCUGAUAUGUCGCAAGUUAUUGAUGAUGCUACUUCUGCUAUGGAUAAUACUUAUGAUGAUGCUAGUACCUUGCUUGAUAAUGAUGAUGUGCCACUUGGUGAAUUUCUUGAUGAACAAAUUGCUAGAGUAAUACAACAUGAUGUUGUUGGAUCUGAUGAUGAGCUUGAAACUGAAACUCCUGAAACACCUGCUAGAACUAGCCUUCCUAGAUAUGAAUUGCCUAAGGUACCGGAAGGUUAUGUUAUGAAUGAGGAAACAACUAGAGAUAUUCUUGGUUGUAAGGAUAGAGAUGAUCUAGAGAAAUUAUUAUGCAAGUAUAAAGAAAAAUCUCUGAAUACUAGAAUGAAAUAUGAUCCUAAGUUUGCUACUUCACCGAUAUUUAUUGAUGAUAAGGAUUAUGAAUUCUCUGCCGACCCAAAGUUAAUUACUUUGGUUGAAUCUGAUCCUUUGCAUGGUUAUGAAACUGAAAUAGUUGUGGCUCAUCUUACUAAGUUGAAUGACAUAGCCACCCUUUUUACUCAUGAUGAGAAAACUCGCUAUUACUUUAUUCUCAAAUUAUUUCCUUUCUCAUUAAAGGGUGAUGCUAAAGCUUGGUACAAUACUCUUGCUUCCGGUUAUGUGCGUAGUCCACAGGAUAUGAUCUAUUACUUCUCUAAAAAAUAUUUUCCUGCUCAUAAGAAACAAGCUGCCUUACAUGAAAUAUUUAACUUUGUGCAAACUAAAGAAGAGAGUCUCCCACAAGCUUGGGGGAGGCUUUGCCAGCUACUUAAUUCUUUGCCUGAUCACCCUCUUAAGAAAAAUGAAAUACUUGAUAUCUUCUAUAAUAGACUAACCGAUGCUUCUAGGGAUUUCCUAGACAGUUGUGCUGGUUGUGUUUUUAGGGAACGAACUGUUGGACAAGCCGAAGAAUUAUUGAAUAACAUAUUGAAAAAUUAUGAUGAUUGGACUCUUCCUAAACCACCGCCUAAGCCCACUCCAAAGAAGAGGGGUAUAUUAUAUCUCAGUCCUGAAGAUAUGCAAGAGGCAAACAAAUCUAUGAAGGAAAAAGGUAUUAAAGCUGAGGAUGUUAAAAAUUACCUCAUAUUGAAGAAAUACAUGGGCUUAAUACACCACCACUGCCUAAGGUGGUAG
rnacentral:rRNA from 1 species